rnacentral:rRNA from 1 species
CCUACGGGGAGCUGCAGUGGGGAAUAUUGGGCAAUGGACGCAAGUCUGAACCAGCAACGCCGCGUGAAGGAAGACGGCUUUCGGGUUGUAAACUUCUUUUAAGGGGGAAGAGCAGAAGACGGUACCCCUUGAAUAAGCCACGGCUAACUACGUGCAAGCAGCCGCGGUAAUACGUAGGUGGCAAGCGUUGUCCGGAUUUACUGGGUGUAAAGGGCGUGCAGCCGGAGAGACAAGUCAGAUGGGAAAUCCACGGGCUCAACACGUGAACUGCAUGUGAAACUGUUUCCCUUGAGGGUCGGAGAGGUAAUCGGAAUGCCUAGUGUAGCGGUGAAAUGCGUAGAUAUUAGGAAGAACACCAGUGGCGAAGGCGGAUUACUGGACGAUAACUGACGGUGAGGCGCGAAAGCGUGGGGAGCAAACAGGAUUAGAUACCCUAGUAGUC